UUUGAAGUCUGUAAGGGUGUAUCUUUUCACCUUGUUUGAAGUUGGUCCCACCAAUAUGAAAGGAGGUGGGUGUAUACAGAGAAUAUCAAGCCGAGUACGUGUUUACUUAUUUAUCUGCUUCAUGCAUUUGCUCUUUUAGGACUCGGUUCACAGGAAGUGCAGGAUGGACAUCUGAGCCUUUUGGGUGGUAAAUCCCAAUUCCAGUGCCAAUUACUCAUGCUGGAAUAGGUUCUUUUCAAGAGGAGCUGACAGGGCUUGACUCGAGAGCUGAUCUUACUCAAGGAGGUGAUAAUUAAAUAAUGGAGGCCCACGUCUAACAAAUUCCACAGUAUGGAUUUGGGAUUUCUCAGCAGUUUCACCUUCCCUACUGUGCCACACAAUCAAUAUUUGAUCAAGGUCCUAGUCAUGAGAGUCUAAGCAUCCCCAUUUUCACUUUUAAUUCCCUACCCAGUUGCGUAAUUCCCUUAAACUGGGAUGGCUGCUUUUGCCAAUAUUAGAUUUUUCUAAGUGUGCAGCCACACUCAGCGUCCUUUGAACUGUAUUAAUUUCAGACAACAGUAGUUUCUUCCGAGUUUGAAUUAGCCAAUAGCAAUUAAAGUCUGUAAAUACGUUUGAGGAACGUGCUCACACACGUCAUGUGAAGGAGAAUGUUGAAUAUGCAAGUUUACAGAGCACAUUGCAGCUGUUCAAAUAAUAAUAGAAAGCUACCUUAUUCACAAGACUUCUCCAAACUCUGCACAAUUAAGUUGACAGAGUUUUAUAGCUCAUGCAACCCCGCUGGCAUUUGUGUGUCCUCCCUGGAUCAGACCAUGGAUCUUGGCUCCUGUGGAUCUGUAAACUACUACACCAUCAAGUCGAUUGAUGUUCAGCUGAAAUUAUAUAUACAGUCUUAAACAGCGCUGAAGCGCACAUUACAAACUUUUUACAAGUAUAAGUGAAUUCACAUUCGUGAAAUAAUAAGUACAUUCGCAUAACCAAAUUUACAGUAGCGCUAAUGGAUAAAGCAAAAUAGAUGAUCAUCUUGUGAACAUUUAAGUGACUUACAGUUAUUUUCAGGAGACACAAUUGUAAUAUCUGGGGGGGAAAAGUUUCUGCUGUUUCAUAAACUGGAACUACUUCACUUGUGUUUUUUCCCUCCCAAGUUUCUCUGCUUUAUGGCAGGAAACGUGGGUAGGGGAAAUCACAGAGGACUGGUUAUAUUCCCUUUUCGACAAGCACUUUGAUGACACUUUGAAUGGGCAAUAAUUAAAAUCUUAUUUGCAUAAUGUUCCCCAAAAACUUUAUGGACAGCAAAUUUAAUUAAACUACCAUACUUAAGAACCAUGACCUUGAGGCAACCAAGAAAAGGAGAUGUUACUUUCCCCUUUCAACGGUAUGCUAAUUAUACAAAACAUUUUACACUCUUUCGUCAAUUUUUCAGCACACAGCCUAUAGUUCUCCAGUGGGCACAUAAAAUAUCAGUAUGGUCCUUUAAGUCUGAACUAGUAAGCAGGACAAUUAGAAACCUCUCUGCAGUAAAUAUUAAGCGGAUAGUGUGCAUUUGACUAGAAAUGAGGGAUUAACUACUUAAAAUGUUCUGCUUGAUCCCUUGACUGGACUUCAAAGUGAAGUUAUAUUGGAAGAAGAGCGUUUGAGAACAUGGGCCGUUAUCUGCGGCCCUGUCGUGCUGCUGACACUCAGAAGUCAGAGUGUUUCCAAGAAAGUUUGAACCCCGUGGGAACACGCUCUGAUGACGCACAAUGAACUAAUGGAGCUCAUGACUCAUCAGAGUAUAUAAUAAUGUAGUAGUUCUUUAAUUUUACUGAAUUUACUUCAUCCUGUGAUGUGUCAAAGUCAAGUAGAGAGUGAUGGUUUACUGGGCUCUUCCUCCCUGAGGUUGGCCAAAAAAGUACAUUUUCAACUUCUAUGUUGGUCAACAAAACAUAUUAAUUUUACAAUAAUGGGCCUAAAAUGUGUGAUAUGCCUACGUUUUUUAUUAUUUCAUAUUUUUAACACUUUGGUUAAGUUUGAGCACCAUAACUACCUUUUUAGCUUUAGGAAAACAUCAUCAUGGUUUAACGAAUGAAUAUCUUUCAGUAACUUUUGUUUUAGUCUUAUAAUUGUGUGAUGAGAGUGACGCCUGUAUGUAUUCAUGGAGGUAUGUCAGGCUAUUUUCCUGUCUAUGAAUAGCAGUGGCUGUUCAGCUAUUCCUCUUUUCCUUUAUGGUCGGCUUACAACUGGGUAUAUGGAAGAAUGCUAUUGAUGUAGCAUAAUUGCUGUUGGCGCAGUUUCAGAGGGCGCUGGCUGCCUUACACAGUGCUUAUGAUUGCUUCUUUCUUGGCCAAAUACUCAUCACAUAGUGAUACUUUGGUUCAUGUUUCCUCUUUUUUUCCCUGAUUCUUUUACUGAAUCACAAAUCAUUGCAUUGUGACUGUGCCAGUUCUUAAUGAUAGAUGUUUUAAAGUUGUAUGGUUUGAUUUCUAAUAAAACUGGAAAGUAUGAACUUGUGCCAAAUACCUUUUGGAAGUUAAUACAAAAGACCCGACUACUGAGAAAAGCAGCAUCCUUUCAAUUAAUACUGAGCGCACACAAACUAUAAUUGCUUUUAUAAGCUGAAC